AAGUCGUAACAAGGUUUCCGUAGGUGAACCUGCGGAAGGAUCAUUACCGAAUUGGCACUCUGUGUCGAAUCUUGAUCGAGCCAGCGCGGCGUGCUUCACGCCGUGCGAGGGAGACCGCUUUCGGGCGCUCCAGCGCCGUUCCCCGCCCCGGCGGGAGCUCGUCCACUUUCGCGAGUGGAGAAAGAACGGACCCGGUGCUUGCACCAUCCAUCUGUGCUUGAAAAGGAAACCCAAUGCAGUACAACUGCAAACGGUGGAUCACUCGGCUC
rnacentral:misc_RNA from 1 species